rnacentral:rRNA from 1 species
GCAAGUCGAGCGCGCCCUUCGGGGUGAGCGGCGGACGGGUUAGUAACGCGUGGGAAUAUGCCCUUCACUAUGGAAUAGCCUCGGGAAACUGAGAGUAAUACCGUAUACGCCCUUCGGGGGAAAGAUUUAUCGGUGAAGGAUUAGCCCGCGUUAGAUUAGAUAGUUGGUGGGGUAAUGGCCUACCAAGUCUACGAUCUAUAGCUGGUUUGAGAGGAUGAUC